AGUGUCUGUCUCUAGUGAAAGUAAGUCGUUCGCCAUCUUCAGGACUCGAGGCCUCCACCGUAGAAGUUACCAUUAGAGAGGUUGGUGUAGAAAGUGAGACUGGGACGUUCGUUAGUGAUUGCUCUCUACAUAUGGGGCGUUGGAUUGGGUCUUUUUGGAUCUUACGUGCGACGUCGUUUUCGUAAUUUGAAGAAAAUCCUUU